rnacentral:lncRNA from 1 species
GUUUGUACCAAAUCAAGAAUAUGACAGUUGUUAUCAAUUCGUUUGGUGUGUUUGGGAUUUAGAUUAUUUUCAUGUGCUAAAGAACUGUCCAUUCUCAAUUUUACUUAUAUUUCAUCUGUAAUAAGCUAUCAAAUCUCCGUCCUUUCGCUCACUAUGCAUGCUGCUGACUAUAUAGAAAUACGGAAUUGGAAGCUUGAUCAAUAUUAUUAUAGGAUUAAACACAUUUUUUCUAGAGGUUAUUGAUGUG